UACGUAGGGUGCAAGCGUUGUUCGGAAUCACUGGGCGUAAAGGGCGCGUAGGCGGGCUUGCAAGUCGAUUGUGAAAUCCCCGGGCUUAACCCGGGAACUGCAGUCGAAACUGCAAGUCUUGAAUGCUUGAGAGGGUGGGGGAAUUCCUGGUGUAGUAGUGAAAUACGUAGAUAUCAGGAGGAACACCGGCGGCGUAGGCGCCUACCUGGCAAUGCAUUGACGCUAAGGCGCGAAAGCGUGGGUAGCAAACAGG
rnacentral:rRNA from 1 species